rnacentral:lncRNA from 1 species
UUUCAGUUCAUUGUAAACUUGCCAAGGGAGCUGCCCACAGACACAAGAGAGCUGCCUUGGGACAGUGAAUUACUUUUCUUUUGAGACGGUCUAGUGAUGCCUGGGUGGUGCCUUCCUAGGACAGUCCUCACACCUGAACAGGGGGUGCCAGGCCCUGGGCCCCAUACUUUACAGGGCCUUAUUCUGUCCCUCUUCUAGCAUCAUCUUCCAUGGAGAAAAGAAUGUGUUGAAGCCAAGAAGAUGCUCCCAUACUUUACAGGGCCUGUUCUGUCCCUCUUCUGGCAUCAUCUCCCAUGGAGAAAAGAAUGUGUCAAAGCCAAGAAGAUGCUCCCACCAAGAACAUCAGCUCUCCUAGAACAGGGGUUGAUGGUCGCGUUCCAGAUGUAAACAGCUUCAGAAGCCUGACCGUCAUAUGGUGAGCAGUUUACACUCUCAUAUACGCCCUGUCAUCUGCUUUGAAGGACUUUCUAGGGGGCAUCAAGGCUACGUGAAUACAUUUGCUUUUUCACUUAUCUGACUAUUAUCUAGCCCCAAAUCUGUGCCUGCUGUUUGUUGAUUUUCACCCCUGUUCUUUUUUUUUUUUUUUGGAGACGGAGCCUUACUCUGUUGCUGGAGUGCAGUAGCGCUAUCUUGGCUCACUGCAACCUCCACCUCCCAGGUUCAAGCCGUUCCCCUG